GAUGAACGCUGGCGGCGUGCAUAACACAUUCAAGUCGAACGGACCUUAAUUGGAAGCUUGCUUUUGAUUAAGGUUAGUGGCGGACGGGUGAGUAACGCGUGAGCAACCUGCCUUUGCGAGGGGGAUAACAUAGGGAAACUUGUGCUAAUACCGCAUAACGUAUGUUGGAAGCAUUUCCGACAUACCAAAGGAGCAAUCCGCGCAAAGAUGGGCUCGCGUCUGAUUAGGUAGUUGGUGAGGUAACGGCUCACCAAGCCGACGAUCAGUAGCCGGACUGAGAGGUUGAACGGCCACAUUGGAACUGAGAUACGGUCCAGACUCCUACGGGAGGCAGCAGUGGGGAAUAUUGGGCAAUGGGGGAAACCCUGACCCAGCGACGCCGCGUGAGGGAAGAAGGUCUUCGGAUUGUAAACCUUUGUCAAUAGGGACGAAACAAAUGACGGUACCUGAAGAGGAAGCCACGGCUAACUACGUGCCAGCAGCCGCGGUAAUAC
rnacentral:rRNA from 1 species